rnacentral:rRNA from 1 species
AUUGAACGCUGGCGGCAUGCCUUACACAUGCAAGUCGAACGGCAGCACGGGGGCAACCCUGGUGGCGAGUGGCGAACGGGUGAGUAACAUAUCGGAACAUACCCUAGAGUGGGGGAUAACGUAGCGAAAGUUACGCUAAUACCGCAUACGAUCUAAGGAUGAAAGUGGGGGAUCUUCGGACCUCAUGCUCAUGGAGUGGCCGAUAUCUGAUUAGCUAGUUGGUGAGGUAAAGGCUCACCAAGGCGACGAUCAGUAGCUGGUUUGAGAGAACGACCAGCCACACUGGAACUGAGGCACGGUCCAGACUCCUACGGGAGGCAGCAGUGGGGAAUUUUGGGACAAUGGGGGGCAACCCUGAUCCAGCAAUGCCGCGUGAGUGAAGAAGGCCU